GCUGGGCACGGUGGCGCAUGCCUGUAAUCCCAGCGGCUCAGGAGGCUGAGGCAAGAGGAUCACAGGUUCAAAGCCAGCCUCAGCAACAGCGAGGCACUAAGCAACUCAGUGAGACCCUGUCUCUA
rnacentral:sRNA from 1 species